UUGCAUAGUUUCAUGGCGUAUUUAUGAAUGUGUAGAGGAUAAGUUCGAAACAACUUAAACUUGUAAUUUUUUUAGUCAUAUUUAUGAAAAGGAUUAGUUAGGAAGUGAUAGAAUAUUUGACAUAAAAAUCAGGAUUUCAGUACAUCAGUAAUUUAAAUUCCGUUCUUUGACUCUAUGAAAUCACUAGACGCUUGGCUAAUUUAUCAUA